rnacentral:lncRNA from 10 species
UUGAACUUCCCAGACUCCAGAACUACUCCUGCCCCUGCCACGAGAACACACCCUUUCCAGUUUGCUGGAGAAAUAUAAGAGAAGUCCAGUGAAAGAGAGCUGAGUUUCCCCAAUGAUGCCAUCAAGAUGAACUAACUACAGUUAACCAGCCAGCUGAUAGCAGAUGCAUGAGUGAGCCCAGCUGAGAGCAGGUUGUGCAAGCAUGGCACGUGCAUCUGUUUGGCUUGUGGUGAGGCCUCAGGAAGCUUACAGUCAUGGUGGAAGGCAAAGAGGGAGCCAGUACAUCACGUGAACUCGUAGAGUGAGAACUCAUUCACUACCAUGAAGACAACACCAAGCCAUUCCUGAGUGCCUACAAUAGUUCCUGGUAUGUAGAAGGUAUACAAUAAAUAUUGGCGGAGUGAAGGAACAAAUGGGAUUUGCUUGAUUCUGCUGCAGAAGACUAAGAAAAAGACAUAAAUGAAUAAAUAACUAGUAGAAUGUUAACACAAUCAGAAAAAGGACCAUUUCUUUUCAUUUGGAUGUCUCAAAUCUAUUUGUUGUUUUUGUUGUUGUUGUUUUUCUGGCUGGGCUUGAAAUGUAGGCAUGCAGCCAGGAGGCUCCAUGCUGACUAAUGAGAUAGAGGUACCCAUUUAGCCCAGCAAUAUUCAUACAUUGUAUAUGCAUUCAUUUUUCUCUAGUGACUUUUUAAUAUAUUUUGGUGAAGAUAUUCCCAAGAUAAUGAAGAUAUGUUGAGUGGGCAUUAAAAGUGAUGAGUCUUUUUUUCCAUUAUCAAAGACAAAUACAGGUGUGUGAUGUAUGCAGAGAAUUAGAAGUAGGGAAAAAAAUGAGGGAAUCCAAAAUAAUGAAAAGAAAUUAAAGCUCUCCAAUAAUCGAAAGAAAGGCCAAACUGAAAACAUAAAUCUCCAGACUCUGCAAGGAUUUAUACUGAUGUGGGGCAUGUGGACCAAUGGCUUUCAGGAUGUGAUUCAUUUUGAAAAAAGUGUCAUUU